ACUUUUACCGUCGAUUUUGGUGCUGCUCGUUAUUUUCGUAACGGAGCGGUGAAAAGGGAAUCAGGUGUGAAUCCUGAACAGACCCGCUGCUGUAAGCUUUUUAAAGUCUUUGGACAUUACUCACGCCACUGUUUUACAUGAACGGGAAGGACGUCCGGAGAUAAAGCAAGUCAGAAGACCUGCCAAGAUCAGAAACUUGGU
rnacentral:ncRNA from 2 species